UACGUAGGGAGCAAGCGUUGUCCGGAAUCAUUGGGCGUAAAGCGCGCGUAGGUGGUCCCGUACGUCCGCUGUGAAAGUCAAAGGCUCAACCUUUGAAAGCCGGUGGAUACUGUGGGACUAGAGUACGGAAGAGGCGAGUGGAAUUCCUGGUGUAGCGGUGGAAUGCGCAGAUAUCAGGAGGAACACCAACGGCGAAGGCAGCCCGCUGGGACGGUACUGACGCUAAGGCGCGAAAGCGUGGGGAGCGAACAGG
rnacentral:rRNA from 1 species